CAGGUCUUGACAUCCUCUGACACUCCUAGAGAUAGGACUUUCCCCUUCGGGGGACAGAGUGACAGGUGGUGCAUGGUUGUCGUCAGCUCGUGUCGUGAGAUGUUGGGCUAAGUCCCGCAACGAGCGCAACCCUUGAUCCUAGUUGCCAGCAUUCAGUUGGGCACUCUAAGGUGACUGCCGGUGACAAACCGGAGGAAGGUGGGGAUGACGUCAAAUCAUCAUGCCCCUUAUGACCUGGGCUACACACGUGCUACAAUGGGUGGUACAAAGGGCAGCCGAGCCGCGAGGCUUUAGCUAAUCCCAUAAAACCACUCUCAGUUCGGAUUGCAGGCUGCAACUCGCCUGCAUGAAGCUGGAAUCGCUAGUAAUCGCGGAUCAGCAUGCCGCGGUGAAUACGUUCCCGGGCCUUGUACACACCGCCCGUCACACCACGAGAGUUUGUAACACCCGAAGUCGGUGGGGUAACCGUAAGGAACCAGCCGCCUAAGGUGGGACAGAUGAUUGGGGUG
rnacentral:rRNA from 1 species